rnacentral:rRNA from 1 species
UAGGGAAUCUUCCGCAAUGGCCGCAAGUCUGACGGAGCAACGCCGCGUGAGUGAAGAAGGAUUUCGGUUCGUAAAACUCUGUUGUUAGAGAAGAACAGCGCAUAGAGUAACUGUUAUGCGUGUGACGGUAUCUAACCAGAAAGCCACGGCUAACUACGUGCCAGCAGCCGCGGUAAUACGUAGGUGGCAAGCGUUGUCCGGAUUUAUUGGGCGUAAAGCGAGCGCAGGCGGUCAAUUAAGUCUGAUGUGAAAGCCCCCGGCUCAACCGGGGAGGGUCAUUGGAAACUGGUUGACUUGAGUGCAGAAGAGGAGAGUGGAAUUCCAUGUGUAGCGGUGAAAUGCGUAGAUAUAUGGAGGAACACCAGUGGCGAAGGCGACUCUCUGGUCUGUAACUGACGCUGAGGUUCGAAAGCGUGGGUAGCAAACAGG